GCCUCUCCAUGUGCUCACUUCCUUCUCCAAUAAUCUCUUUUCGGGGCUCUCAAUAUCACACACGCUCUUUCUGUUUCUGUCACAUCCAUCCCUAUUUUUUAAUGUCUCCACCAAAAAAAAACUUAUUGCAUGUAUAUUUCCUAUUAUCUCAAAAUACAUACAUCAUAUAUACAAGUUAUCUAUAGGGUUUAUUCGCUUAGGAUUCUGAUAAUUUAAUUGGUUAGAAAUGACUAUGUAAUAAUAGACUCUAUAUUUACGUGAAAUUAACGAUAUUUGAAUCGGCUAUUGCCCGCAAUUCGAUUGGUCUGCAGGUUUUCAUGGUACGAAUAGGGAACAUUUGCGUUAAUUUAUAAAGCCCUUUUUCUUGCUUUUCUCUGAUUGUAAUUAUGAAGUGUAUACCAACUUUAUAAAUUACGUGGCCCCUAUUGUAGUAUAUAUUCACAUUUAAUAAUCUAAGUGUCUUUAUUGAUACUUUACAUGUGACAUGACAAUUAUGGCAUUUUAACGGCGUUAACCAACACAUCACGUCAUCAUCCGUGGUUCGAGCGGUUUCGUAACCGGCGAGCAAAAACAGUGAGUGAGGGAGGAGCCAAAAUGUGGAACCCACGCGUCUCCUCGACAGCUGAGCUUCUCUCUCUCUGGCGCCAUCUUAGAGGUCUCUCAAU